GGUUGGCAUUUCUCUCUCUCCCUUGAAUGCUGAAAGACAGCAUUACUGCUGAGCUCAUGGGUGAUGGCCAAAUGCAGAGCGGACCUUCCCUGAUUUUGAUCCGUGCAACUGAAUGAAAAUCACGGUACCAGUGAGAAUUGCAAGUUUGCUGAACCAGAAGUGAACACAACUGAAAUGCAGAGAAGGUGCCACAAAUUUGGAGGCAGCCCCCAGCUACACAGAUGUGGUCAUUGCAGACAAGCCUGCAGUCAAGAAUUUAAACUUUGAUAUCCAGGCAAGUUUGGCAGUCUUAUGUUUAUGACUGUUCCUUGUGAAAUGGGUGAAAUAAUGCAUGGAUAUGGAAACAUCAGGUAAGUGGCUACCAUGCAUCUAAAG
rnacentral:lncRNA from 1 species